AGCAGCCACUCAUUAAAAGAGUGCGUAAUAGCUCACUGGUCGAGUGACUCUGCGCGGAAAAUAUAACGGGGCUAAGCAUGAAACCGAAGCUUGGGCUUGUCGUAAGACAGGGGUAGGGGAGCGUCGAGUAUGGGGUGAAGUCAGAGCGGAAGCACUGGUGGACUGUACUGGAGUGAGAAUGCCGGAAUGAGUAGCGAGAAUUAUGUGGGAAUCAUAAUGGCCGAAAAUCUAAGGUUUCUUGGGGAAGGUUCGUCCGCCCAAGGUAAGUCGGGAGCUAAGCUCAGGCCGAGAGGCGUAGGCGAUGCACAUACGGUAGAAAUUCCGUAACCACCGAAACUUAAACAGAGGGACACUUCGAAAUAGCGGAACCCGGGCGUUGGUUGACCCGGGCGAAAGGGAGCGAAAAUAGAGUAGCGAAGUCCGCGAUGUUCGGAGGCGAGAAAAGCUCUGAGGUAUGCUAAGGUGCCCGUACCGCAAACCGACACAGGUAGAUGAGGAGAGAAUCCUAAGGCCAACGGGAGAAGGGUUGUUAAGGAACUCGGCAAAUUGACCCCGUAACUUCGGAAGAAGGGGAGCCCCCUACGGGGGGUCGCAGAGAAAUGGCCCAAGCAACUGUUUACCAAAAACACAGGUCUAUGCUAAAUCGAAAGAUGACGUAUAUGGGCUGACGCCUGCCCGGUGCCGGAAGGUUAAGAGGAGAUGUCAGGCAACGAAGCAUUGAAUUUAAGCCCCGGUAAACGGCGGCCGUAACUAUAACGGUCCUAAGGUAGCGAAAUUCCUUGUCAGGUAAGUUCUGACCCGCACGAAUGGCGUAAUGAUUUGGGCACUGUCUCAACAGCCCGCCCGGCGAAAUUGUAGUACUGGUGAAGAUGCCAGUUACCCGCAACUAGACGGAAAGACCCCAUGGAGCUUUACUGCAGCUUAAUACUGAAAUUCGGUAGUACAUGUACAGGAUAGGUGGGAGACUGAGAAAUACAGGCGUCAGCUUGUAUGGAGUCGCUGUUGGGAUACCACUCUUGUACUGCUGGGUUUCUAACCUGCGGCCGUGAAUCCGGUCGGGGGACACUGUUAGGCGGGCAGUUUGACUGGGGCGGUCGCCUCCCAAAAGGUAACGGAGGCGCUCAAAGGUUCGUUCAGCACGGACGGAAAUCGUGCAAUGAGUGUAAACGCAUAAACGAGCCUAACUGCGACACCGACGGGUGGAGCAGUAACGAAAGUUGGAGUUAGUGAUCCGGUGGUAUGUGAGUGGAAAUGCCA
rnacentral:rRNA from 1 species